GGCAAGUGGCGGGCAGGGAGCGGCGGUAGGAGGUAGGUUGCGGAGGUUGGCCGGAAUUAUUGGGGGGAAAGGGUCCGUAGGCGGGUUGUCACGUGGGGAGUGAAAACGCGGGGCUCAACCCCGAGCCUGCUUCCGAGACGGGCAGACUAGAGGUAUGCAGGGGAGAACGGAAGUCCUGGUGUAGCGGUGAAAUGCGCAGAUAUCAGGAGGAACACCGGUGGCGAAGGCGGUUCUCUGGGCAUUACCUGACGCUGAGGAGCGAAAGUGUGGGGAGCGAACAGGAUUAAUACCCCAGUAGUC
rnacentral:rRNA from 1 species